CUUUAUUUUGGUUUCUAUUUUUGUUUAACAGUGUUAAUUAAUUGUCACGUGAUGCAUGUCCCUUUAAAAAAAUGAAUAUAUUUACUUUUAAGCUUAUAGUGUUCCUUUAAAAAAAUAGGUGUCCAAGACUUAGGUCCAGUAAACAGAAUUAUAGGAACUGACUACCUGAUUUUCAGUACUUUUUAGGUUCAGUUAUGGAGAGAAGAUAAAUCCUCUGAGAAUAGUCAUAAAGCAAUCUGAGUUCAGGGGUCAGAAGAGAUCAGCGUAGUAAUAUUACAAUGCAGGUAUAGGUACAUGGAGACAAGAGGGAAUUGUUAGGUUAAAUCCAGGUCAAU